UACAGAGGGGGCAAGCGUUGUUCGGAAUUAUUGGGCGUAAAGGGCGCGUAGGCGGCUUUUCAAGUGACGGGUGAAAUCCCUCGGCUUAACCGAGGAACUGCCUGUCAGACUGGAAGGCUUGAGACCGGGAGAGGUGAGUGGAAUUCCCAGUGUAGCGGUGAAAUGCGUAGAUAUUGGGAGGAACACCAGUGGCGAAGGCGGCUCACUGGACCGGAACUGACGCUGAGGCGCGAAAGCGUGGGGAGCAAACGGG
rnacentral:rRNA from 1 species